rnacentral:lncRNA from 1 species
AUGUACAAAGGAUAGAAAUGCAAGACCCUGAAAUGAAGUGGGGCUCUCCAAGUCAGUUGAAGAGAGGGUGGGCUGCUAUCACUUAUCGAUACCACCUGCUAUGGAACCACUUGCAUCCAUUAAAGAUGUAGUGCCCCCGACAAAAGUGACGUUAGUACAUAUGGAAUAGUACUACUAUGUAAAUCUAACCACCCUAUCAAUAGAACGAGCAACAGUAAACAGAGAAUAAAACAUGAAAUCAAUAAGAGACUCAAACAGUAACAAGGUGUCAAGUCAAGGGAAAGGUAAAUUUCAAAUAGGAUUCGGUAAUAUAAGUUGGUAGAUCUUUAGCACUGAUACACCACUGUGUUUUAGCACGGAGUCCGAUCUCAGCCCGAUCAGCUAAUCCAUCUCACCUCGAGACGUACACUCACAAUACCACCAUGUGCGCGGCAUGGCGUCCGAUCUCAGCCCGAUCGGCUAAGCCAUCUCACCACAAUGUUAUGUGGAUCAACAUCACAUCACAUCUCGCUAGCAAUAAUCUAAUCCCAUUUAAGGGAAAAACAUCUCAACAUACCAAUCUCAUCCCAUAUAAGGGGAAACAGGCUUAUCACAUUAACACGGGGAUUUACCCCUCAGUCACUCCUACACCGGCAUAUGUAGUUUAGGGGUUAGGUUAUUCCGACCUACCCUUCCUCGGUGGCUAAACGAUACUCCCAAGGCAUUUAUUAUUAAAAGUAUUUACCACUCAAUUCAUAUUCUUUUACAUGUCAUUCAUUUUAUUUGCAUUAUUGUCCAUAACGUAAUAUUAUUUUUGGCACAUUGGUCGUACUUCAUAAUUCAAGCUCACUAUUCCAUUUUCAAUCAUUAUCAUGGAUAAUCAACCACAAGGCCUUUCAAAUUAAGACUUUAAACACAUACUUGAGCAAACUAGGGUCUUAGGCACAUAUGAUCUCUUAUACAAUUUGAUGUGAUUACUUUCAUUUGGACUUGACUUGAAGUCACAACAUUUUAAUACAUAAUCAUACUUCAAAUACUUUUCCGGGUAAUAGCACAAUAUGAUAAGAACAUUCUGGAACACAUUUGAACAUAUUCAUAUAUAUACAUCAUUCGACGCCAAACUUAUUCAGAAAAAUCAAUUCAUAAUGGACAAUUCGGGACUUACCAGAUCAUCGUGGGAAUUCAAUUCUAAGAGAGGAGCUUAGCCAACAUACCUUGCCUCGAGCCUUUUAAUUUACUAAAAUGUUCUGGCGUUCCUAGCCACUUCGAUCUAUUUAGAGAUAUAGCAAAAUUGAACACAAAUUAGGAAGGAGUUCAUAAUUCUAACUCAAUUGAGUAUUUUAUCAAAUACUUGGCGUGCAUUAGGGCUUUAAGGUCCUCCUAUGGUGGAUUCUUUCACCCCACUACCCAAAGUUUACCCAAAAGCGAUCAACAAUCUCCACACUACCCUAGAUGGUACAUGCAUGUAAAAUAAACAACUCCCACACCCAAUAAUUGCUUUACUAAUUACCCAUUUUUAGUUAAAUUUCGAAAUUAAGGGUUAGGGUGUAGAAUCUUACCUUUUGGUUGAAGACCUUAUGAGUUACCCUAGAGAAAGCUUCAAGGUUUGAAUAAAUAUUGAUGAACAAAUGACUUAGAACUCCCCUUCUCACUCUAGACCACCUUCCUCUCUCUUUAAAAUGUGAGUUUGAACCUUCUAAAAUGACCCUUAACAUUGUUUUAUAAGAAUGAGGUCGGGUUUAUAAAACCAGAAAAAUGAAGCUCCAAAGCACGAUCUGCGAUUGCAGAGUGACCGCAGAAUGGAUAUGCAGUCCGCAAAAUGGGCCGCAUAAUGGCGCUCCGGAACUGGGCAUAACUGACCCAUUCUGUGACCAGUCUGCGAUCCGUAGACCAAUUCUGCGAUCGCAUAAUGCGCCGCUGAACUCCCCUCCGAAAAAUCCCAUACUCAUUCCGCGGUCGAUGUGCGGCCCGCGAAACAGUUUUGCGGUCCCAUAGUUGACCGCAAAAAUAUCAUCCAAAUUUGCCUAGUUUUCUGCUUCACUCUACGGCCAUUCUGCAUUCGGCAGAGUGAGCCUGCGGCCGCAUAGUGGGCUGCAGAACUGUCUUUUUCUGCCAAAAAAUAUUUCCUUUACUUCCCAACAUAUAAGCCUACUUCGCCACCAUGCAACCCCGGGUAUUUAGAAAAAAUUUUACGAGGCCUUACAGAUACAGAUCUAAUGGUUCAAUCUAAUCACAAAUCAAAGGUCGUUUUCUCAAUAUAGUAUCCUUUAUACCCAAGAAAACGACGUCGAGAAAUCAAACAAGAGUGCGACACAACCCAAACACAUCUUAAACACACCCGAUGCACCCGGGACCCUGUCCAAUACAUAACACGAACCUGCUCGAGGCCUCAAAUCAUACCAAACAACACCAAAACCAUGAAUCGGCGAUCAAAUCUUCCUUUUAACCUUGAAACAUUCAAACUUCGACGAACGCGUCCGAAUUACACUUAAACAUUCGGGAAUGACGCCAAACUUUAUGUACAAGUCAUAAAUCACGAUACGAACCUAUUCUAAAGCUCAGAACCCCAAACUAACAUUGAUAACACCAAAGUCCACUUCAAACCAAAUAUAGGAAAUUCUAAAACCUUCGAAUUGCCUACUUUCCACAAUAAGAACUAAAAUGCUCCCGGACCACCCGAUACUCAACCCGAACAUACGCCCAAGUCCGAAAUCAUCAUAUAAACCUAUUGGAACCUUCAAAUCUUGAUUCUGAGGUCGUUUACUCAAAAGUGAAACUUUGGUCAACUCUUCCAACUUAAAGCUUCCGAAUUCAGAAUUUUCCAUCCGAAUGAACCCCGAAUCUCCCGAAAUUUAAUUCCAACCACACGUACAAGUCAUAAAACAUGAAGUGAAGCUACUCAAAGUCUCAUCUGCAGAACGAACUACUAGAGCUUAAAAUGACCAAUCAGAUCGUUACAUUGUGGAUGUUGCAUUCCUGCCUGCAGGUGUAGGUAAUCAGCUUGAUGAGCCCUUAUAGUAGACGAGGUUAGCUUUCAAUGAAGGAUCAGUAAGACGCUACUUUAUUCGGAGUGCAGCCAAGUCUAUAAGUCAUCGUGCCAUAUAUUUUAUAUAGACUUAUGGGUAGGCUGAGCCCUUUCCCGACCAUGUUUCGAUGUCAAAUACUCUUAGAGGCUUUGUAAACACAGGUUCAUUAUGUACAGUAUGUCAGAGGCCUUGAAAACUCGUGUGUAUUCAUGUUUUGAGUAUGAUGGCUUGUUGAUACAACGUUUGCCCACUUAUAGUUAUAUAUUACCAUUUGUGGCCGUGUUGGCCGAUGAUAGUUAUAGAAAGAAUGAGUUCGGCCAAGGCGUCCUAUGUAUGUUCUAGUUUUCGUCAAACAAUCAUGACUUAUAGAGUUGUUUGCUCGGGCCAGUACGACAUCAAAUGCCAGCUACGCCUCCCCAAGUUUGGGGAGUGACACAAAUAGUGUAAUUUUCAUUUCAGACAUUGCAUUAAGUAAUACCAGUUUUGGGAGGUUUUAGAUGAAUGUUGGGUUUAGUCUUGUUAUACAUUACUGAGCUUUACCCUUUAUUGUGAUAUCAAGUCGUUUUAAGCCUAGAUUUGUUCCAUUUUUUCAAUUAAGUGUUGGCAUGCCUAGCAAGUUGUGUUAAGCGCCAUCAUAUCCUUUCGUUGGGAAUUUCGGGUCAUGACAGAUACAGAUUGGUUACAGGCCUUGAUACACGAUUUGACAUGUUAAGCCCAGAAGCGACGAGGUCUUCUGCCCAUGAAAGGAUAGCAAUUAGCAAACAAUACAAUGCAUGGGAGCCAAGGACAGGCCCAUAAGAGGGUCAACUUAGCCCGAAAAUACACUAACACCAUUGACAUCUAGACCAAACCUCUAAGCUAUACAAGCAGCUUAGAUAAUAUGCAUAUUCAAGGCUUAUAAGCAUAUUUUCUAGUGCAAAGGACAUUAUAACGGAGUGCGAGAAAAGUAAGAUCUGAACGUGUAUGAUUACUAAUUUCCAAACAAAAAUAAACAAUCACACCUCAAUAAACAACCAUGGCACAUAACUCAUUGCUUUUUAGGAGAAGCCAGAAGGUAGUUAAGUGUAGAUUUGACAUAGGGGAUCCAUAUAGGCAAGUUAUCUAGUGCACAAACAUAGGCUAAAUUUAAAGAUACCAAGGCCAACUGGGCAACAGGUUCCUAUAGACAAGAUUUCUAACAUCAAGAGAUUCGUACAGUUGUUAAUUCAUAGUGAUCAAUGCACAGUCAUACAGAGGUUAGCAUAGAGUUCUUGAGGACUGUGUUCUAUGAAAGAUUACUCAAAACAGGUUGAUCAAAUGCAGAUAAAAUGAAACAUAUUUUCGAUUGAAUAUGAAGAUGCUCAGACAGUACAAGCUGACAUACAUGACCUUAAGAGGUAUGCUCUCUAUGGAAUUCAAAGUAAGAUACUUAGACAAACCAAUCAAGUGCAUAAAAAAAAUCUUGUUAACAUGGUUUCUACUCUUCUAGAACAGGAAUAACAGUAAGAUGGGAUCUCUUACCUUCCUUGAUAAAGAAAAUUACAGAUAAAUCAGAGUAAACAUACUAGGACCCAUACACAUGCUUUCACAACACGAUAUGGGAAUUCCUAAAGACAUGAUUUCUAAGGAGGAGCAAGUAUUAUGUUGUACAGAUGUAUUAUUGAUGAAAAUGAUUAGGUUAUUUAACUAAGGAUUUUCUUAACAUGAACAUGCUUCAAUGCACACUGAGACUUAAUAAUUGAAACAAAACAUAGAAGUCAAGUGACAUAGCAGACAAGGAUUGAAGGUUAACUUACAGACAUGCUACUAUGUUUUAGAAGUUAACAGGGAGCCAUUUUAAUAGUAAGAAGCAAAAGAACUUUCAAGUAAAAAGGUAUGCGAAUACAGGAGAAAGAAUCAUCGUAAUUCUUAUACAUGCCAACUAUUUAGACAACCUUUGAGUCAGAACUAAAACCCAAACAAAAGAUGUCUAUGAACAUGAUUUUUGUGUAGCAAACACACCAACAUAAUUUCACAGAGAAUAAAUGAGGCAUCUAGAGUUACCACACAUAGAGAAUAAAAGGCAUGUAAGAGUACUAACCAGUAUAGAAGAGUAAUGAUAAUAAACAAGAAAACCAGAAAUUUCAUAAUCUGAAAUAAGCAACAUAAAGAUUGCCUCAGUCACCAACGAAACUCUAAGUUCUCCGGUGCUUCAAAGUUCACGAGAGCCUCGUAGGGGCUCCGAGCAAUACUUGUAUCGGAGAAGGUUAAUGAACAAGAUUCUGAAGGGCUUGGGUUUCAGCCAGCCAAACACAAACCAAGAACAAAGAUGAAAUCCAGAAAUACUUCAAGAACUAAUAGAGAAUCUUCUGACAUAACCACAAUAAAUAAGAGAAAUGACAGGGUGUGAGAGUGAGAGAGAUGUGAUUGAUGUCUGCCUCUAACCGUGAUUGUCUGCCUCUAAUUCGAUUUGGAUUCAGUUUGCAUAUGAUUGUCUUAUUUCCUUAGGGAAAAAAUAUGCAAUCACGGUUUUGAAAUAACAAUCGAGAUACGAGACUGACUGAGCAAUCAGUCCAUAAAGGAAGAAAAUAUCCCUUUCAAAUUUACCUAGUCCAGAUUAGGAGUUGAUUCGACUUGAAUCUCGAAAGAUUCUCUUACGAUUUAGCCAAAUACCAUAAAUAAAUCAGUACCUAAGAACGUGUGCCAGAAAUAGUAAAGAAUCGAUUAUUAGAACAAGAAAAGGAAAGGAAAAAUUGAGGGUUCUCAUGUCGACUAGGGUUUUAGGGCAUUAGGGUUAGAUGAGAGAAGAGAGCAGGACAUAAGUGGGAUUAGAGUUAGGGGUGUUAAUGAAGUUUAUAUUUGAAAGGGAAGGGGAGAUUGAAGUCAUUGGAUCUACGAGAUAAAUGGAUAUGAUCGAAAGGGUUGAUAG